CCCCUUCCGAAACGCUCCACAAUAUCUUAUAUUUAUACCGUCCCCUCAGGGACUAUGGCGAUAAACGCGCCCGUAAUAAGCGGAUCGGACCCGGGGGCGGUACCCGGCGGCUCCACCAACAUCCCGUCUUGGAGGGAUAGGGGGCCGAAAUAGGAUCGACGGACGUGUAAAGGGGAAUGCUUUCGCUCGGUGAGGUACCACCGUUACCGGUCCGCAAAGUACAGUUGCCAAUGACAACCGUGCUCCGGUGGCCCUCGCUGCGUAAUGCGGCGAGCAAACCGAAAUCUAAGUCCUGACGCCUAGCCGCGUCAGGCGGGGUUCGCAGGCACCCGGCAACAGAAGCCUGCGCU
rnacentral:tmRNA from 1 species